AAACUUGCCCCGAGAUGAGUUCUCCCUGACUCCUUGAGAGUCCUGAAGGAACGUUGAAGACGACGACGUUGAUAGGCCGGGUGUGUAAGCGCAGCGAUGCGUUGAGCUAACCGGUACUAAUGARCCGUGAGGCUUAACCUUACAACGCCGAAG
rnacentral:rRNA from 1 species